rnacentral:tRNA from 1 species
GCGGGAGUAGCUCAGGGGUAGAGCACUAGCUUCCCAAGCUGGGUGUCGCGGGUUCGAUUCCCGUUUCCCGCU